AUUGAACGCUGGCGGUAGGCCUAACACAUGCAAGUCGAACGAGUGGCGGACGGGUGAGUAAUGUCUGGGAAACUGCCUGCUGGAGGGGGAUAACUACUGGAAACGGUAGCUAAUACCGCAUACCAUCAGCUGGGCCCAGAUGGGAUUAGCUAGUUGGUGGGGUAACGGCUCACCAAGGCGACGAGCCCUAGCUGGUCUGAGAGUAUUACCAGCAACACUGGAACUGAGACAGGUGCCAGACGCCUACGGGAGGCAGCAGUGGGGAAUAUUGCACAAUGGGCGAAAGCCUGAUGCAGCCAUGCCGCGUGUAUGAAGAAGGCCUGCGGGUUUUAGAGUACUUUCAGCGGGGAGGCGUUACCUGCAGAAGAAGCACCGGCUAACUCCGUGCCAGCAGCCGCGGUAAUUC
rnacentral:rRNA from 1 species